GCUAGCUACAGGCUUAACACAUGCAAGUCGAGGGGCAGCAUUUUAGUUUGCUUGCAAACUAAAGAUGGCGACCGGCGCACGGGUGAGUAACACGUAUCCAACCUGCCGAUAACUCGGGGAUAGCCUUUCGAAAGAAAGAUUAAUAUCCGAUAGUAUAUUAAAACCGCAUGGUUUUACUAUUAAAGAAUUUCGGUUAUCGAUGGGGAUGCGUUCCAUUAGUUUGUUGGCGGGGUAACGGCCCACCAAGACUACGAUGGAUAGGGGUUCUGAGAGGAAGGUCCCCCACAUUGGAACUGAGACACGGUCCAAACUCNUACGGGAGGCAGCAGUGAGGAAUAUUGGUCAAUGGACGAGAGUCUGAACCAGCCAAGUAGCGUGAAGGAUGACUGCCCUAUGGGUUGUAAACUUCUUUUAUAUGGGAAUAAAGUAUUCCACGUGUGGGAUUUUGUAUGUACCAUAUGAAUAAGGAUCGGCUAACUCCGUGCCAGCAGCCGCGGUAAUACGGAGGAUCCGAGCGUUAUCCGGAUUUAUUGGGUUUAAAGGGAGCGUAGGUGGGUUGUUAAGUCAGUUGUGAAAGUUUGCGGCUCAACCGUAAAAUUGCAGUUGAAACUGGCAGUCUUGAGUACAGUAGAGGUGGGCGGAAUUCGUGGUGUAGCGGUGAAAUGCUUAGAUAUCACGAAGAACUCCGAUUGCGAAGGCAGCUCACUAGACUGCAACUGACACUGAUGCUCGA
rnacentral:rRNA from 1 species